rnacentral:rRNA from 1 species
AUUGAACGCUAGCGGGAUGCUUUACACAUGCAAGUCGAACGGAGUGGCGGACGGGUGAGUAAUAUAUCGGAACGUGCCCAGUAGCGGGGGAUAACUACUCGAAAGAGUAGCUAAUACCGCCUACUGUUAGAGCGGCCGAUAUCGGAUUAGCUAGUUGGUGGGGGAACGGCUCCCAAAGGCAACGAUCCGUAGCUGGUUUGAGAGGACGACCAGCAAAACUGGGACUGAGACACGGCCCAGACUCCCACGGGAGGCAGCAGUGGGGAAUUUUGGACAAGGGGGGAAACCCUGAUCCAGCCAUCCCGCGGGUAUGAUGAAGGCCUUCGGGUUGUAAAGUACUUUUGGCAGAGAAGCGGUAUCUGCAGAAUAAGCACCGGCUAACUACGUGCCAGCAGCCGCGGUAAUAC